GCCCGCGAUUUGCAAUAAUGGACGAAAAGGACGAGCGAUGAAAACACGACUGGGGGCUAGAUUGGAGCUCACGCAGGCUACGGGGCAGCUGAAUUUCAGUGUCGAGGACUCUCCGCCUUCAUCUCCACUCUUGAGAGAUCCAGACAAAGUUGCGCUUGGCAACCCUUAAACUAUCACCCCACCGCACUGACCCCAUCACUUAAAAAAACCACUCGGGUGAACCCCCGGCUAAUAACGCAUUCGAUUUCUCCUUUUUAAACGCCCCCACCACUUCUCGGUAGGAUCUCGACCGCUCCGAUCGCUCCUAACGGAGGGUCUCUGAGUCCCGGGCCGCGUCCUCCCCACCGCUACCUAGUUUCUUUCGAUGACGACGACGAACAGGCACCGGAGGUUGAACGCUAAAUGAAAACGGCAAAUCGAUUGGCGCCACAAACCGGGAAGAGGAUGCAGCCACCCAGCCUCCACUUGCCCAGAGCUGGGCCGCCUCCGUUUAGCGAUAAUAAUGGUAACGCCGAUGAUAAAGACGACGACAUCGACGCCGUAACCGGAGACGAGGAGGGUAAAAGGAGGCUGCGGGAAGAAAAAUGCUGCAAAAUGACACCACCAGCUACCUUCCAUUUUUUUCUGAUGCCGCCAUCCAGGGCACAAGCAUUUACUUAUUACUGACUAAUUAGUAUCCUACUGGUUAACUUCUUCAGUAAUAUUUUGGCCACCGUCUUCAACAUUGCAUCCGGAGACUUCCCAGAAUUUUAUUUUGCUGUUUACCAACACCUUUCUGAAACAAUAAUUUUUCCAAAUAUUUGAUGUUAAUGUGAUUUUUUUGGAAGAAUGGAGCCUAAGAUAUGACACUGAGAGUGGGUGGCCAGCAGCAUUACAAGGCACAGUAGGUAUAUUCGGGUAGAGAGGCUACCAUCAGCUCCACAUCAAUCAACGGUAUUUAUUGAGCACUUACUGUGUGCAGAACAAUGUACUAAGUGUUUGGAAGAGUAUAAUAUAAUAGAGUUGGUAGACACGUUCCCUUCCCACAAUCUGCUUACGGUCUAAAGGGAGCUAAUUGGGGUACAGCUGGGGUGCUUCAAGCUCACACCCUGGGACCUAGAAAAGCACAGGCCCU
rnacentral:lncRNA from 1 species